CUAUGUUUCCAAUUUUAUUACUACUUUCAAACAUAUACCCUGGUUCUGUUCCUGAGAGACCGAGUUGCCAGCAGGAGGGCAUUGGCAGCGACGAGAAAGUCCCGGGAGACGGAGAGCAAGAAGAAGAAAGGGAGGAGGAAUCGGGAGGCGGCGCGACCGCGACCGAGGAGAAGACCAAGAAGGGCAAGCGGAAGGUCAUGGUAUGCAGCAAGCCGGAGGACUCCGGCAAGGUCAAGAGAGCCAAGCCCGGCGGCGCGGUGGCGGCGCUCGAGCCGGACCUCCGUGGCCCAGACACGGAGUGGUGGUAUGCCUUCCUCAGCAAGCACAAGGAACGCCAAGCCAAGUCAGGUCUUACUGCGUCAGUGCCUUCAGACGAGGAGGAAGCAUUCAGGUACUUCUUCAGGACGUCGAGGAGUACCUUUGACUACGUCUGCUCAAUUGUAAGGGAUGAUUUGAUCUCAAGGCCGCCUUCUGGGCUGAUCAACAUUGAGGGGAGACUACUUAGUGUGGAGAAGCAAGUAGCAAUUGCCAUGAGGAGGCUGGCAUCCGGUGAUUCCCAGGUGUCUGUGGGAGCUGCUUUUGGCGUGGGACAGUCUACUGUUUCACAAGUGACAUGGAGGUUUAUCGAGUCGAUGGAAGAGAGGGCUCGGCAUCAUCUGGUGUGGCCGGACCAGGAGAGGAUGGAUGAUAUCAAAGCUAACUUUGAGGUGGUGUCUGGUCUGCCAAAUUGUUGUGGCGCCAUUGAUGCCACACACAUAGUUAUGAUGCUUCCUGCUGUUGAGUCAUCGGAAUACUGGUACGACCAUGCGAAUAACUACAGUAUGUUCCUGCAAGGGAUUGUUGACCAUGAGAUGCGAUUUAUUGAUGUUGUCACCGGUUGGCCUGGCAGCACGACAUUUUCCCAAUUGUUGAAAUUAUCUGAAUUUUACAAGCUCUGUGAGGCUGGGAAACGCUUGGAUGGUCCUGCCCAAGUUUCAAGGGAGGAUUUAGAAAUAAGGGAGUUCAUUGUUGGUGACGUGUCUUAUCCUCUACUCCCGUGGCUUAUGACUCCAUAUCAAGGAGAAAGUCUGUCUGCCCUAAUGGUCGAUUUUAAUGCCCGUCAAAAAGCCGCAAGAAUGCUUGGAACAAGAGCAUUGGCACGGCUGAAAGGCUCCUGGAGGAUCUUGCAAAAAGUCAUGUGGAGGCCUGAUAAGAAUAAGUUACCGAGUAUAAUUCUUGUCUGCUGCCUGCUUCACAAUAUAAUGAUUGAUCGCCAAGACCAACUGCUUCCAUCUCUCGAACUUCCAGAACAUCAUGAUACCGGUUAUACUGAAGUGAACUGCCAGAAAAAGAAUCGUAACGGUAAAGUGAUGAGGGAGGUCAUUACAGAACAUCUCCCAAGGAAUGGUGUGUGGCUACUUUGAAAGCAAACAACUACCAUCAUGCUUGAGUUAAUAUUCUCCUUGACGAUGACAAUUCCUAUCACCUUGAGUUGCAUUGCAUACAGUCUCUAAGUUAAUUAUUUAAACAGAAGUGCUCUUGCCUCGAUAGACGGUGAAUGGUGUAGUUUGGAAGAGUUGGGCUCUCUUUCCCAGCUCAGGUCUCUUGGACUACAGGUGGGUGCAGCUGCCUUCCAAGGGCCUCAGCCUCGGCGCCGGCGCGGGCGCCUGGCCGAGCUCGCCGAUCGAGCUGGCAUCAAGAACAGGGAUUCUCGGCUUGCACUUUCUCUCCCCGGUGCAGCGGUCGCCGGCGGCGAGGGUGGUGAUGAGCGAGGCGGAGGACUACACCUGUGUCAACGCCUGGGGGCCCAACCCCAAGAUGACCAACAUCUUUGACCCCCGCGUCGUCCAGAGCUGCGAUGGUUGCUGUCAGCUGAGCUCCUGCUGCGACAACUGGUAAAUAAAAGUUCCGAUUUCUGAAUUUCUGAUGCUUUGCAAGUUGGCAUGUUGUUUUUCAUGCUUGUCAGUGUUAUUAAUUCACUUGACACUGCCAGAAAAUGCAGAAAAGAGGUA